GGGUGCUGACUGCUUGGUGCAGUGAGGCAGGUUAAAAAGACUACGCUGGUCGGGCCGCCAUGCG
rnacentral:ncRNA from 12 species